rnacentral:rRNA from 1 species
ACUCCUACGGGAGGCAGCAGUGAGGAAUAUUGGGCAAUGGGCGGAAGCCUGACCCAGCCAUGCCGCGUGCAGGAAGACGGUCCUAUGGAUUGUAAACUGCUUUUAUACGGGAAGAAACACUCCCUCGUGAGGGAGCUUGACGGUACCGUAAGAAUAAGGAUCGGCUAA